CACGUGGGAUUGCUUGACGGUUGCGAAAUUAACAGCAAUGAAAAUGGCGAAACGAAACUUGUGAAUCGUGCAUUUGCUCUUCAUGGUAGCUGCCAGAAAAUCGAAUCAAACUUAUGGGACACUGGAUUACAGGUUGCUGCCACUACUCCAUGUGCCCGCAAUUGUCUUGCGUGUAUGAUUACACUAACGACGUCGCCCACCACGGCGGAAGUGUUUUGCGUACACGCGUUUCAGCAUGAAGCCUGCAGGUGGACGUAAAUUGUAGAAGGCAGCUAGUGGGGGAGAAGAUCAUGGUCAUAGGUCAUGUGGCUCCUGGAGCUCCCAGUGGGCUCCCUUGUGGAGUACUUUUCAGAACACGCACACAGUUCGCUCACAGAACCAACGAGUAGGAUGUUGCUUGAAUACUGAGAGAAAAUGGCAUAACACAUACAAAUAUCGUGUGACACAUAUGACAAUAAAACCAUUUUUCACGAGGGAUGCAUGAAACACUGUCGCAAUAUUGUGUGCAUGAACCAUUGUGUGUGACACAAGCCGUGGGGG